rnacentral:lncRNA from 1 species
GGGACUUACACCUCUGCUCUCAACGUGGAGAAGGUAGGACUUGAAGCACAGAUCCUACACAGAAGAGGGAGGGGCCUAUAGACGCAGUGAGAAUAAUGACAUUAUUAUCUCCUAGAGGCCAAAGAACUUGCCCAGACUUAUGGCAGAAGAUGCAGGGGAUGGCUCAGUAUUCUGGGUAAAAUAAAGAAGAUGGAGCCAAGAUGGGAACAAACCACACAUGAGUGCUGAGAGAGAGAAUAGAGCGGAUUGGAGAAGAACUGAGUCCUCCGAGUUGUUCCAGAAGAGAAAGUUCAACAGGCAGAGUGCAUCUUGGGGAAGAGAUGCCUUAUUAGUAGGUCCAUGAUGCUCUCCUGGGUCAGCUUCAGGUCUCCCUCCAGCUUCCGCUUGGCUCGCUCUAGGUCCAUGCGCACUUUCUUCUCCUGCUCCAGGGAUCCCUCCAGCUGGCAGAGAGAAUAAAAUGAAUACAUGCUGGAAAGACUGGAAUUCACAGUGUACGCCUUAAACUUGAAGUCCAUCGGGGUUGGUACUCCAGAGAUUUGCCUGAUGAGGAAUCCCAGAGAACAGAGAAGCUCCUGGGGUCAUAGGAGUUAGAUGCAGAGGGAAACUCCUUCUCUAUAGGCGUUGGCUACAGAGUCUUGAUCUGAGAGAGGCGGAACAUGGCUCUUAUCACUUACAUCAUCCACCUGCUGCUCCAGCUUGACUUUGGACUUGGUCAGCGUGUUGACCUUGUCUUCUUCAGCCUGCAGGUCAUCGAGGGCUUGCUGGUGGGCUUCUUGCAGAGCUUUCUUCUCUUUGGUCAGCUUGGCAAUGAUU